GACGUGAGGGCGCGAGCGUUGUCCGGAUUUAUUGGGCGUAAAGAGCUCGUAGGCGGCUUGUCGCGUCGAAUGUGAAAUCUCAGGGCUCAACUCUGACAUUGCAUUCGAUACGGGCAGGCUCGAGUUCGGUAGGGGAGACUGGAAUUCCUGGUGUAGCGGUGAAAUGCGCAGAUAUCAGGAGGAACACCGGUGGCGAAGGCGGGUCUCUGGGACGGUACUGACGCUGAGACGCGAAAGCGUGGGGAGCGAACAGG
rnacentral:rRNA from 1 species